rnacentral:rRNA from 1 species
GUGCCAGCAGCCGCGGUAAUACGUAGGGUCCGAGCGUUGUCCGGAAUUAUUGGGCGUAAAGAGCUCGUAGGUGGUGUGUCGCGUCUGCUGUGUAAGUCCGGGGCUUAACUCCGGUUUGGCAGUGGAUACGGGCAUGCUAGAGGUAGGUAGGGGAGACUGGAAUUCCUGGUGUAGCGGUGAAAUGCGCAGAUAUCAGGAGGAACACCGGUGGCGAAAGGCGGGUCUCUGGGCCUUACCUGACGCUGAGGAGCGAAAGCGUGGGGAGCGAACAGGAUUAGAUACCCUGGUAGUCC